UAGGAUUUGAUUAGGUUUUAAUUAGGAUUUGGUUAGGAUUUGGUUUAGGAUUAGGAUUUAAUUAAGGUUUGAUUUAGGAUUUAGGAUUUGGUUAGGAUUUGAUUUAGGAUUUAAAAUUUGAUUAGGAUUUGAUUUAGAAUUUAGAAUUUGGUUAGGAUUUGUUUAGGAUUUGAUUUAGGAUUAAGAUUUGGUUAGGAUUUGAUUUAGAAUUUAGAAUUUAGUUAGGAUUUGAUUUAGGAUUUGAUUUAGAAUUUAGAAUUUAGUUAGGAUUUGAUUUAGGAUUUAGGAUUUAAUUAGGAUUUGGUUUAGAAUUUAUGAUUUGUGUAAGAUUUGUCUAGGAUUUGAUUUAGUAUUAAAGAUUUGGUUAAGAUUUGAUUUAGGAUUUAGCAUUUGUCUAGGAUUUGAUUGAAGUCAAUUAGGAUUUCAACUAGGAUUAAAUUAGAACUUAGUUGAGAUUAUUUAAGAUAUAUUUUGAUUAUUUUAAUAUUUUUUAGGACUUCUAAAGGAUUCUUUUAAGAUUUAUUAUAGAUUAUCUUUGAAUUUUUUUAAGAUUUCUUAUUGUUUCUUUUAUAAUUUCUUUAAGGUUUUUUUUAUAAUUUGAU
rnacentral:lncRNA from 1 species